rnacentral:rRNA from 1 species
GAAGGCCUUCGGGUUGUAAAGAUCUUUAAUCAGGGACGAAACAAAUGAACGGUACCUGAAGAAUAAGCUCCGGCUAACUACGUGCCAGCAGCCGCGGUAAUACGUAGGGGGCGAGCGUUAUCCGGAUUCAUUGGGCGUAAAGCGCGCGUAGGCGGCCCGGCAGGCCGGGGGUCGAAGCGGGGGGCUCAACCCCCCGAAGCCCCCGGAACCUCUGCGGCUUGGGUCCGGUAGGGGAGGGUGGAACACCCGGUGUAGCGGUGGAAUGCGCAGAUAUCGGGUGGAACACCGGUGGCGAAGGCGGCCCUCUGGGCCGAGACCGACGCUGAGGCGCGAAAGCUGGGGGAGCGAACAGGAUUAGAUACCCUGGUAGUCCCAGCCGUAAACGAUGGACGCUAGGUGUGGGGGGACGAUCCCCCCGUGCCGCAGCCAACGCAUUAAGCGUCCCGCCUGGGGAGUACGGCCGCAAGGCUAAAACUCAAAGGAAUUGACGGGGGCCCGCACAAGCAGCGGAGCAUGUGGCUUAAUUCGAAGCAACGCGAAGAACCUUACCAGGGCUUGACAUAUGGGUGAAGCGGGGGAGACCCCGUGGCCGAGAGGAGCCCAUACAGGUGGUGCAUGGCUGUCGUCAGCUCGUGUCGUGAGAUGUUGGGUUAAGUCCCGCAACGAGCGCAACCCCCGCCGCGUGUUGCCAUCGGGUGAUGCCGGGAACCCACGCGGGACCGCCGCCGUCAAGGCGGAGGAGGGCGGGGACGACGUCAAGUCAUCAUGCCCCUUAUGCCCUGGGCUGCACACGUGCUACAAUGGCCGGUACAGAGGGAUGCCACCCCGCGAGGGGGAGCGGAUCCCGGAAAGCCGGCCCCAGUUCGGAUUGGGGGCUGCAACCCGCCCCCAUGAAGUCGGAGUUGCUAGUAAUCGCGGAUCAGCAUGCCGCGGUGAAUGCGUUCCCGGGCCUUGCACACACCGCCC